UCCUGGCUCUAUUCAAAAGAAAAGGAAAGAUUAGGAACUCUGUCCAUACUGCUGAAUGUCAGCCUGGCUAUGGACUGUACAGGGCUAAAUCAUCCAUGGAGAAAGAUGCAUGUACUUGAACGGCUUGACCCCCUCCCCUGGUGGAUACUUCCUGGGAAGGAAAAAGUCAGCAGAUUGCUUGGAAUGUUGCAGGAUGUUGGUCUCAGUGUGGAGAUGGAUGCGACAUUACCAAACGUGUAGAAAGUUCACGGGAGGACUCCAGCAAAGACUUGAAGUCAUCUCUACUGCUCCAUUUCCAGACGCAGGGCUGGCGCAUGCUUUGAGCACAUUGGGAGCAGGCUUUUGGCAAGACCUGACUAAAUGUGAACACUGCUGAAAAGGACAUUAAGCAACGUCUGCAAAGAAGGAAAUGAACAAUAACAGAAAUCCAUUGUCUUCAAGAAAGAAUAAAGAGCACGUGCUGGGACACUCUGCCCUUUCAGCGACUUCCUGUGCUCCAACAUUCCCGAGACUGAAAUCUUCCUGGUUCUGUGCAAUGUCGUAUCAUUACUAGAAAUUAUCUUGUUUGAAAGAAUUUUUUUAAAAAAUGAAUGUCAUUACAUUUGUGCAUGUGUAAUUCCCCUUGCGUGUACUUAUCUGAGAGAUAACCUAUAACAUUUUAUUAACUAGUGGUAGGCA